UCGCUCACCUCUCAUAUCCGCCUCUCUCGAUAGAAUUGAGAUCCCCUUUCCAUAUCCUCCUCCCAAUGUAGUGUUUGCGCUGCUGCCAGCUCUCUGAUGUCCAUGCCGAGAUUGCCUCCUUCCUUCUACGCUCCCUUGUCUGUGCGAUGAGACUACCAUUUCCUCCUACAUUCCCUCAUCUGUGCGAUGAGGUUAUCCCCUUCCUCCUACAAUCCCUCAUUUGCGACCAUCGCUAUAGUUAUCAAGAGGAUGUAUUGACUUACUCUAGAUCGCUUACAUCAAGACUCAAGGAGUGCGAGGAAAGGUGCAUACCCCUUUCCGUAUUCGUAAAUCUCGGUCGCUAUUGAUACGCAAGCAUGACGUUAUGGGCUCUAGUAAGAAUCCGAAAUGUUUAUACUUUGUGGUUUAAAUUUUUCACAAACCAUAGCCAUGAAAUUCACAAGAGACUGUCCCAUCGUAUCUUUUCUUGUUUGCACUAAUUCACAAGAGAAACACUUGCGAAUUAACAUGGUUCCCAAAAUUCACAGGAGAAA